AACGAAUUUUUUCCAAAACAAAUCGACCGAAUCAAAGAGGGAAAGGAAGAAAGUAAAGAAACUUUCGUUUCCAAUCUCCUACAAAUUCGCACCUUUCUCUCCAAACCCUAGCUGCUUCCGUCCCCUGCGAGAUUUUCCCAGUAAUGAACCCUCACGACCACCGUUACGCCGAUCCUCUCUCCUACCACCCUCGUCGAAGUGACCUAAUGGGGCCGGUGCCUCCGGUGGUGCCCCCGGUGAUGGGGGGUGGUCCUGCUGCGUAUGGCCGUGGCAGUCCUGCUCCUUACGGGGCCUCCGAAGUGCCCUAUGCCGCUGGUGGAAGAGGGGCUAGAGGUGUUGCUGAUUCGGCACACGGUGCUGGUGGCUAUAAUGGUAGGUAUCCGCCUUUUCAACCUCACGCUGGAAGAGGGUUUGACAUAGGCAUAGGUGGUGGUGGUGGAGGAGGAGGAGGUGGAAGAGGAUAUGGUGACGGAAGAGAUGGAGGAAGGGGAAGUGGUCAUGGUGGUUACGGUGGGAGGGGAUUUGAUUCUGGUGGUCGGGGAGGUAGAUCUGGUGGUGGUUGGGGAAGCAGUGGGAGAGGUUUUGAUGGAGGCAGGACUAGUGAUAGGAGUUUUGAUGGUGGCCGAGGUGGUAGGAGCUUUGGGGGUGGUCGUGGGAGGGGGUUUGACGGAGGUCGUGGUGGCGGCAGAGGUGGAGGUAGACAUGGUGGAGUAUCAAAAGGGGACUUGGACAAUAUUACUCUUCCGAAGCAAGAUUUUGGCAACUUGGUCCCUUUUGAGAAGAACUUUUACAUUGAGAGUCCUUCAGUGAGAGCAACGUCUGAACAAGACACAAUGCUUUACCGUAGUAGACGUGAAAUUACUGUUGAAGGUCAAGACGUCCCUAAUCCAAUUCGGGUAUUCCAGGAGGCAAAUUUUCCUGAUUACUGCCUUGAGGUUAUUGCCAAAUUGGGUUUUCUUGAGCCGACACCAAUUCAAUCUCAAGGAUGGCCGAUGGCCUUAAAAGGCAGAGAUUUAAUUGGCAUUGCUGAGACAGGUUCUGGAAAGACCUUAGCAUACCUACUACCCGCUUUGGUUCAUGUCAGUGCACAGCCUCGUUUGGCACAAGGUGACGGCCCCAUUGUCCUGGUAUUAGCACCUACUAGGGAAUUGGCUGUUCAGAUCCAGCAAGAAGCUUUGAAAUUUGGAUCACGUGCAAAUAUUAGAAGUACUUGCAUUUAUGGUGGAACCCCUAAAGGACCGCAGAUUCGUGAUCUUCAGAGAGGUGUUGAAAUUGUAAUUGCGACACCAGGUCGACUGAUAGACAUGUUAGAAGCUCAGCACACAAACUUGAAAAGAGUGACUUACAUUGCAUUGGAUGAGGCUGAUCGAAUGUUGGACAUGGGUUUUGAGCCUCAGAUCAGGAAAAUUAUUUCCCAGAUCCGACCAGAUAGACAGACAUUGUAUUGGAGUGCCACAUGGCCCAAGGAGGUCGAAACUCUAGCUAAGCAGUUUUUGCGCAAUCCAUAUAAGGUAAUUAUUGGUUCUCCACAUCUCAAAGCAAAUCAAUCUAUUAACCAAGUUGUUGAAGUUGUAACAGAGAUGGAGAAGUACAACAGGCUGGUCAGGCUGCUAAAUGAAGUGAUGGAUGGAAGUCGGAUACUAAUUUUCACACAGACCAAAAAGGGAUGUGACCAAGUCACUAGGCAGAUGAGAAUGGAUGGAUGGCCAGCUUUGUCCAUCCAUGGUGAUAAAAACCAGUCUGAAAGAGAUCGUGUCCUGGCUGAGUUUAGAAGUGGCAGGAGUCCUAUAAUGACUGCCACAGAUGUUGCUGCACGUGGUCUUGGUAGGAUUGCUGUGCGUUAGGACAUAGGAGUUUUUAGUCUGUUGAUUUAGGGUUUUGAUAUAUUCUGGAGAUAGGCGAGUCGGCCGGCUGCUGUCCACUGUCCUGAGAAUAUGAUUUGUGGCUUGGGUGCAAAUUGCGAUGCCAUCUUGUCUUGAGGCGCUCAUGUGCAUUUUUUCAGCAUGGUCCUACUUCAUGAUAUGAUUACAUGUCAGUUUUAGAAGCAUCUUUUGAGGUGCAAAAAUAUUUUUAUAUUCUUGGAAAUAAAAAAAUUCAAAUGAGAAAACUCUUUUUUUGAACGGAAUGUUUUUGAAAUGCGUUUUCAAGAAUUUUGGUGGUGGUUGAAAAAACACUCAGAAAUAGUUUGGAAUUGUUUUUUAGUGGUAAACGAAUUGAAUUUUUGAAAACUGAUAGUGUUUAUUGCGUCGUGUUAGACUGUCCCAUAAGACACUCUGCUUGCUACUACCUUGGCAUUCCUCUUGUUAAGACGGACACUAGGAGCACUGUUGUACAUUUUCCAGUGCUAAUCUCUUGAUUCGGGUGUACACAUAACCAUUAUAGUACGAGGGCCACUACACAUGGGGUAAUUUUUCCCUUCAAUUUUUCUUGUCUGUACAUACGGACCUGGCUUUUAUGGGAUCAUAUCCUUCACCAAAUUGCAAAAGAUGGUAUGGUUCCUUUGAUUGGUCUAGUUUGCACCGUUGGAAGUCAUCGCUACCCAUCCACAGUUAUGCAGUUAGUUGUCAUGGCAGCCCGGUUAACUCAUACAAGCUUAUACAUUGAUGAUGGCAUAUUAAAAUGGAUUUGGAAGUUGUGGAGGUGGUGGUGGAGCUGCUGCUCCUUAUCCCUUCAAGGUUAAGAUGUGAAGGACAUAAAAUGUGUUAUCAAUUAUGAUUUUCCAACAAGUCUGGAGGAUUAUGUUCAUCGGAUUGGCCGAACAGGUCGUGCAGGAGCUAAGGGAACCGCUUUUACCUUCUUCACUCUUGCAAAUGCAAAGUUUG